GAAUUGACUACUUUAUUCACUAAUUCUUCUUCAAUGGAAAAAUUUGGUGUCUCUUUCCGUUCAUCCAUUUUUCUCAUUGCUUAUAUUUGUGCUAUGUUCAUAAUGACUCAGGUUUUCUCAGCAGUUGCUUGGACAGUAUGUGAAUUUGAACUUCAAGGUUUUCCUUGUAAUGAGAAAACUAUAUCAUUUUGCAGCUCCCUAUGCCAGAAAUAUUUUGGACAACGUUAUAUUACUACAGAGUGUGUGGAGAAAACUCCAGGAAAACCUAUAUGUGCAUGCUUCUACAAGUAUCACACAUGUCCACCACAAAAAAUUCUAUAGAGUUCACAUAUUUUCUUUUGUCACAUUCUCAGGAAAAAAAAGGCCAUGAAAAUAAUUUAUCUCUAUAGAUGAUAUUAACCAGCAUGAAUGAGAAAUUGAUACUUUGAACUAAUUUAAAAA